CUGCCCACACAUCCUGACCUCUGGGAUUCUCUCUCUGGGAUUCUUGUGUCUGGAAUGAUACCACAUCGCCUUCUCAGCACAGGGGAGUCUGACCCUCGGAGUUCUGUUCAUCAUUAGCCCACUGAGGGGUAAGCUGACUUCCGCCGUUCUUACGACCGUGUCUGCUCAUCUGAAAGAGUGCAGGUAUUGGACUGCAUCAGGGGACACACGCUCAGACGGCCACAGAGCCCGGGAAGUCAGCAAUGUGAGUGAAGAGGGCCAGGCACAAGCAAGAGAAGGAAGUGGAGGCUGGAAACCAGAGCUCCCACAUUCCGUCCAAAGGGGGUAGCGCCUCCCUCGUUCUUGCCAGUCACCGCCACAUGCAGCCCCCAUGGGUGUUGCUGCCAGCAGCUCACAAUUGAACGCCUCUUCAGAGAAUUGUCCUUGGGCCAUUGGAGCUGCCUAGCCCGGCAGGGCCUGGGACUUAUGCCCUGACUCCCUCUGUCAUCACUCGGGGCACACCAGAGCCAAUGACUGGCCAGUGCAGGACUCAAAAGACUCACUCUCUCAUCUCAAGUUUCUCACAGCAGAAAAGUAUGCCCCACGUGCCCUGUUCUGGCACCCUGGAGAAAUGAGAAGCCUCAGGUCAAGCCAGAAGAAUCACCGUGUGAGAUAGACACCUUCAGUGUUCCCAUUUGACAGAUGAGGAAAUUGAGCCUGGAGAGAUUCAGAACUUACUGAGGUCACACAGCCGAUCAGGGGCUGAGCUGGGCUUUAAACCCAGGCAGAACUACUCAAUAUACUGGACUCUUUAUUCUACACGUGCAGCCUCUCAGAUGGUGUCCUUAUUGUUUGGGAUGUCUGUCCUCACUCCCCACUCCUGUUCUGCUUCCUUUGCCCUUCUUAAAUAAACUCAUUGUUGAAAAUAUAUUAUUUCAUUGAAUUUAUUUACUUGUAUCUCUUUUUACCAUUGCACUGUGAGCUCCCUGGGGACAGGAACCACAUCUUACUUAUGGGUUUAACUGCUAGUGUUUGUCAUGGUGCCUGGUGAGAAAUGGCAAACUAAAAGUUGCUGGCUUCCAAUGGAAGGAUGUGCUAGCAGGUGUCAUGGCUACAAUGUUAUAGCUUUCCAGAAUGUGUUUUCUCUUAUAUUGAACAAAGUCAUUCUAUCUUGAUAACGUCUCCCAUUGUCUUACGGUUUUUAU